GUGUUUUGAAGGACCUAUUUUGUGGUUAGAGGACCUAUUUUGUACCAGGUGAAAGUCUUACCAAAAGAAGCUACCAACUAGAUUGCAAGCAUGCUGAUAUCACUGGAGGAAAAAUUUAGAAAGUAAAGUUCCAGAUAUUGCAAAAUCUGGAUUUACAUCGGCAUGGUUGCCGCCAUCAACUCAUUCCUUUGCCCCGGAAGGUUACCUCCUUCAGAACAUAUAUUCCCUCAAUUCUAAAUAUGGAUCUGAGCGCCAAUUAAGAGGUUUACUAAAAAAAAUUGGGUUACCUCCCUCAGAACAUAUAUUCCAUCGAAUUGGGUUUAUUUAUUUACAGCUUACUCUGUUUUGUGUUUCCGAAUAUUCAAUUAGUUAUGCAACUAAAUAUGUGAAGGAGUAUAUUGAAGGAGCAAAACCAAUUUUUUCCGCUGGGGAGUAUUGAGAUUCUUGCAACUACAAUGGUCAUGGUUUGGACUACAACCAAGGAAGCUGUCAAGGGACAAUUAUGGAGCUUACGUGAUCCCCAGGGGAAGCCACCAGGUGUAAUGCAGUAGUACAACUAGCUAGUUCCUAUAUUUAACUUGUGUCUAGUAGAAAUUCU